rnacentral:rRNA from 1 species
UACGUAGGGUGCGAGCGUUGUCCGGAAUUAUUGGGCGUAAAGAGCGCGUAGGCGGCUAGAUAAGUCCGGUGUGAAAGUCACAGGCUCAACCUGUGAAUGCCGCUGGAAACUGUCUGGCUAGAGUCCGGAAGGGGCGAGUGGAAUUCCUGGUGUAGCGGUGAAAUGCGCAGAUAUCAGGAGGAACACCAAUGGCGAAGGCAGCUCGCUGGGACGGUACUGACGCUGAGGCGCGAAAGCGUGGGGAGCAAACAGG